rfam:Salmo salar isolate Sally breed double haploid chromosome ssa12, whole genome shotgun sequence.
UGAAUUCACUACUGUAAGUCGCUCUGAAUAAGAGCGUCUGCUAAAUGACUAAAA